GACGAACGCUGGCGGCGUGCUUAACACAUGCAAGUCGAACGGAAAGGCCCCUUUGGGGGUACUCGAGUGGCGAACGGGUGAGUAACACGUGCGUAACCUGACCUUGCCUUCGGGAUAACUUCAGGAACGUGGGGCUAAUACCGGAUAGGAAUCCUUGCUGCAUGGUGGGGGUUGGAAAGCUUCGGCGGUUUUGGAUGGACUCGCGGCUUAUCAGCUUGCUGGUGGGGUAGUGGCUUACCAAGGCUUCGACGGGUAGCCGGCCUGAGAGGGCGACCGGCCACAUUGGGACUUAGAUACGGCACAGACUCCGACGGGAGGCAGCAGUGGGGAAUAUUGCACAAGGGGCGGAAGCCUGAUGCAGCAACGCUGCGGGCGGGAUGACGGCCUUCGGGUUGUAAACCGCUUUCAGCAGGGGCGAAGCUUGUGGUGACGGUACCUGCAGAAGAAGCACCGGCUAACUACGUG
rnacentral:rRNA from 1 species